GCCCCCAUCGUCUAGCGGCCCAGGAUAUCGGGUUCUCAGUCCGAGGACUGGGGUUCAAAUCCCCAUGGGGGUGCCA
rnacentral:tRNA from 1 species